UCCAACCCUAAUAUACCCUGAAUGGCACCCCAUCUCAUCUGACCUUGGAUGCUAAGCAAGAUCAGGCCUUAUUAGUACUCAGGUGGGAGAAAAAAGCACAGGUUGUUA
rnacentral:rRNA from 1 species